AAAGUUACAUGCAUUUCAAGUUUUGAUGACAUUUUUUCUUUUCUUCGAUCUGGAGUUAUUAUGAUGUUUUGGUGCAAAAUGAUGCUUGAUCUUGCAUGUACAUGAGAUGAGGAACUGAUUGGUAUAGGUUUUAAUGAUUUCUGGACACUUUUUUUGAAAUCUUGAAAAUGCAUAUGAAGAUCAUCAUGAUCUUCAUCUUCAACCUAUGAGCUUCAUGCGUUUCCAGAAAC
rnacentral:lncRNA from 1 species